UACGGAGGAUGCAAGCGUUAUCCGGAAUGAUUGGGCGUAAAGCGUCCGCAGGUGGCUGUGUAAGUCUGCUGUUAAAUAGUGAGGCUCAACCUCAUAAAGGCAGUGGAAACUACACGGCUAGAGUGCGUUCGGGGCAGAGGGAAUUCCUGGUGUAGCGGUGAAAUGCGUAGAGAUCAGGAAGAACACCGGUGGCGAAAGCGCUCUGCUAGGCCGCAACUGACACUGAGGGACGAAAGCUAGGGGAGCAAACAGG
rnacentral:rRNA from 1 species